CGGUUUCGGAGUGCGGCCCCCGGCACCGGGAAAGUCCCCGGGGCGCCCCGCACCCAGGCCCUCUCUCCCCAGCCCGGGCGGUCACGUUCGGCAGGUACAAAUGGACAAAGUCCCAGGUCCUGCUGCUGUCUUCAUUCAUAAUUGAGGAAAUGAUGAGAAAACUGAGGCUCAGAGAAGGUAAUGGCUGAAGCACCCAGACUUCCAGGGCUGCCGAUGGAUCAGAUGGGUGAAUUUGAUCACUUGCAGACAGGUGCAGUUGCCCCUCUUCUUACUUAUUUAUUUAUUUAUUUGUGACAGAGUCUUGCUCUGU